rnacentral:rRNA from 1 species
GACGAACGCUGGCGGCGUGCUUAACACAUGCAAGUCGAACGGAAAGGCCCUGCUUUUGUGGGGUGCUGGAGUGCCGAAAGGGUGAGUAUCACGUGUGUAACCUGCCCUUGUCUUUGGGAUACCUUCAGGAAACUGGGGUUAAUACCGGACAGGAGAUCCUGCUGCAUGGUGGGGAUGGAAAGUUUCGGCGGUUGGGGAUGGAAUCGCGGCUUAUCAGCUUGAUGGUGGGGUAGGGGCUUACCAAGGCUAUGACGGGUAGCCGGCCUGGGAGGGUGACCGGCCACAUAGGGCCUGAGGUAGGGCCCAGAGUGAUACGGGAGGCAGGGGGGGGAAAUAUUGCACAAUGGGCGGAAGCCUGAUGCAGCGACGCCGCGUGGGGAAUGACGGUCUGUGGGUAAUAACCCGCUUUAGCCUGUGACGAAGCGUGAGUGACGGUAAUGGGUAAAGAAGCACCGGCUAACUACGUG